rnacentral:rRNA from 1 species
GGAAACAGGUGCUAAUACCGUAUAACAAUCGAAACCGCAUGGUUUUGAUUUGAAAGGCGCUUUCGGGUGUCGCUGAUGGAUGGACCCGCGGUGCAUUAGCUAGUUGGUGAGGUAACGGCUCACCAAGGCUACGAUGCAUAGCCGACCUGAGAGGGUGAUCGGCCACAUUGGGACUGAGACACGGCCCAAACUCCUACGGGAGGCAGCAGUAGGGAAUCUUCGGCAAUGGACGAAAGUCUGACCGAGCAACGCCGCGUGAGUGAAGAAGGUUUUCGGAUCGUAAAACUCUGUUGUUAGAGAAGAACAAGGAUGAGAGUAACUGUUCAUCCCUUGACGGUAUCUAACCAGAAAGCCACGGCUAACUACGUGCCAGCAGCCGCGGUAAUACGUAGGUGGCAAGCGUUGUCCGGAUUUAUUGGGCGUAAAGCGAGCGCAGGCGGUUUCUUAAGUCUGAUGUGAAAGCCCCCGGCUCAACCGGGGAGGGUCAUUGGAAACUGGGAGACUUGAGUGCAGAAGAGGAGAGUGGAAUUCCAUGUGUAGCGGUGAAAUGCGUAGAUAUAUGGAGGAACACCAGUGGCGAAGGCGGCUCUCUGGUCUGUAACUGACGCUGAGGCUCGAAAGCGUGGGGAGCAAACAGGAUUAGAUACCCUGGUAGUCCACGCCGUAAACGAUGAGUGCUAAGUGUU